GACGAACGCUGGCGGCGUGCCUAAUACAUGCAAGUAGAACGCUGAGGAGAGGAGCUUGCUCUUCUUGGAUGAGUUGCGAACGGGUGAGUAACGCGUAGGUAACCUGCCUUGUAGCGGGGGAUAACUAUUGGAAACGAUAGCUAAUACCGCAUAACAAUGGAUGACCCAUGUCAUUUAUUUGAAAGGGGCAAAUGCUCCACUACAAGAUGGACCUGCGUUGUAUUAGCUAGUAGGUGAGGUAACGGCUCACCUAGGCGACGAUACAUAGCCGACCUGAGAGGGUGAGCGGCCACACUGGGACUGAGACACGGCCCAGACUCCUACGGGAGGCAGCAGUAGGGAAUCUUCGGCAAUGGGGGCAACCCUGACCGAGCAACGCCGCGUGAGUGAAGAAGGUUGUCGGAUCGUAAAGCUCUGUUGUAAGUCAAGAACGAGUGUGAGAGUGGAAAGUUCACACCGUGACGGUAGCUUACCAGAAAGGGACGGCUAACUACGUG
rnacentral:rRNA from 1 species